CACGGCUCUUAGCAGAGCCGUAGCGCUUCCACACAGCUGCUGUGGUCAGGAAGGAGACCACAGUAAGUUUCUCCCUGGUGGUUGUGGUCUUGUUUGCUGAAAUCAUCCUGCAGCAUUUUGGGAAAAGACAGCU